AUCCUUUUGUAGUUCGUAAGCGUCAUGAUUGGGUGUUCAUGCUAUUGUGUGACAUGUGCUUCCCUUAAACCUUUCUACAACCAUGGCACAUUACCCAUCUGGCG